rnacentral:rRNA from 1 species
UAAGACGUAGGAUGCAAGCGUUGUCCGGAUUUAUUGGGCGUAAAGAGUUCGUAGGUGGUUUGUUAAGUCUGAUGUUAAAGACCGAGGCUCAACUUCGGAAAUGCAUUGGAUACUGGCAGACUGGAGUAUGGUAGAGGCAAGUGGAAUUCCCAGUGUAGCGGUGAAAUGCGUAGAUAUUGGGAAGAACACCCGUGGCGCAAGCGACUUGCUGGGCCAUAACUGACACUGAGGAACGAAAGCCAGGGGAGCGAAUGGGAUUAGAUACCCCAGUAGUCCUGGCCGUAAACGAUGGAUACUAGGCGUACCGGGUAUCGACCCCUGGUGUGCCGCAGCUAACGCGAUAAGUAUCCCGCCUGAGUAGUACGGCCGCAAGGUUG